CCACGUGAUGAGCCAAUCAUGUUUCACUCUUGUCUGAACCACCCGUUGUGAUUACACGCACACCCGCGAGGUGUGGCUGACCC
rnacentral:sRNA from 2 species